AAGCACCGACCCAUUGCCCAAUCAGAAGAAGCAUGGGAAACCGUCUUCAGUCUUUUCUGUCACUCCUUUCAUAAUGACGAUUUCAUUUCCAAGGUAAGCCAAAAGAAAUCAGUCCGUUUUAUUUUCUUGUUCAAAGCCUUUCAUUCUUCAUUUUUCUUCUCUGGAGACUUCUUCUUCACUUCCCCCAUCCAGCCGAGCUUGAUCCAUUUGCAUAAUCUGGAACUCCCCUAUCCAGGUAAAACUCUUCUCCUCUUCUCAAUGAUUCUGUUGCUAUGAUAUGAGCAAGACCAUUUGCGGAUCUAGGUAUAUACUGAAAUCUGAUGUUUUCAAGUCCAUAGAUUUCCUGUUGAAUGUCAAAAAUGUAUACUUCCACCAUAGAUCUAUCUUGACUCUUCGAUUUACAUUUUUUGACUAUUGUGAGGGAGUCUCCUUCAAGGAUCAAAUGUCGCCAUCCCCUCCUGAUUCCCAUUUGAACGCCUUUCCGGCAGGCAAUUGCUUCAGCAGCAAAGGCUGAUGGAAUACCAAAAUGAAUCUCUGAAUAUGAAAAAAGAAUAGUACCAUUCGAAUCUCUGGCCACAAUACCCACACCCGACUGAUUCUUUACUUUAUCGUAAGCACCAUCAAAGUUGAUCUUCAUGAAACUUUCCUGUGGUGGCGACCAUCUCUUUUUCUCUAAGGUACGGUUCAGAUCUCUCUUCUCAAGACUAUCAAUUUCUUUGAUGUAACUGAUUAUAAGAUUUGCAACUUCCGUCCCCUUUCUAAUUUUACCUUCAUGUAUUCUUUUGUUUCUGUCACCCCAUAUUGCCCAGAGUGCACAACAAAAUACGCGACUUUGAUCAAGGUUGAGCUGCUCUAUUGCCCAGGUAAUCCACUGUACAAAAUCUUCACAAUGAUUCCUUAAAAUGCACUGAAACGAUAAUGAUCUCCAUACCUCCCUUGUAAUAUGACAGUAACGAAAUAAGUGGUUCAUUGGUUCAGCUUCUUCUCCACAUCGGGGACAGCUCGGAUUUACUACUAACUUCCGAUGUUGAAGAUUCACCUUUGUAGGCAGAUAAUUCCAAGAUAGCUUCCAUAUUGUAACCUUAAUUUUAGCUGGUAGAUUCAGGCACCAUAGUUUUUUAUAAAAAUUCCCAUAGAUGGUCUGUAAAGCAUAAGCUCUAGGAUUGUCAGUCAAUUUUUGUAAUAGUUGAUAGGCACUUCUGACCGUAAACUCACCCGACCGUUCGCCUCCCCAGAUAAGAAAAUCAUCAUGCGGUGUUUGUGCCAGAGGGAUUCUGAGGAUUCUAGCUGCGUCGUCUUCCAGGAAGGUACUAGUAAUCAACUCUUUUUUCCAACUUCUGGUAUUAUUAUCAAUCAACUCGCCAACUUUAACAUCACGCAAAAAAUUAAUAUCUGAUGAUAAUCUAAAAUUAACAGAAUCUGGAAUCCAAGCAUCGCUUAUGCAAAUAUUAGUACCCGUCCCCACCCUUCAACAAUGCCCUUUUUCCAAUAAGUCCUUUGCUGCCCAAAUACUUUUCCAUACAUACGAACUAGAAUUUCCUAACCUGAAAUUUAAGAAAUUAUCAUCCGAAAAAUACUUAGCUUUAAACACUUUCGUUACAAGCGCAUUCUGAUUAUUCAUAAUCCUCCACCCUUGCUUAGCCAAUAGAGCUACAUUGAACUGUGCCAUAUUUCGGAAGCCCAUACCACCCUCUUCUUUAGGCCUACACAUAAAUUCCCAUUGACACCAUUGAAUUCCUUUCUUUCCUUUCCCUUUCUGCCACCAAAAUCUAGCAACUAAAUUGUCAAACUCAUCACAAAGCGAUUUUGGUAAUAGAAAACAUGUCAUAGCAUAAGUAGGAAUUGCCUGAAGAACUGAUUUAAUAAAAACCUCUCUACCCCCUUGAGAGAAGAAGCGAGUACUCCAAUUAUCAAUUCUUUGCUUUAUUCUGUCUUUGAGAUUCUGAAACGAUUCUUUUUUCUUCCGGCCUACAAUAUUUGGCAAUCCAAGAUAUUUUUCCAUAUUGUUCGAAAAUCUUAUUCCCAUAUCAGCUGAUAACCUGCCUUUAUCCCCCUCCUUCAAAUUCGAACUAAAAAAGAUCAUUGAUUUAUUAAAGUUAACGCAUUGACCAGAGCAACUCUCAUAUUCUUUCAAAAUAGCUUUGAAGUUCCUUGCACUACUUUCUGUGGCUUCACCAAACAAAAUACAAUCGUCUGCGAAUAACAAGUGCGAUAUUAUCGGGCCUCUUCUGCUGGCUCUCACCCUUUUAAUCAAUCCCUCUUUUGUAGCAUUCCUGAUUAACGACGAUAAACCUUCAUUGCAAAUAAGAAAUAGAAAAGGGCUAAGUGGGUCACCCUGUCUGAGUCCUCUGGUUGGUUCAAAGACUCUACCAUUCCUCCCGUUCGUAGUAACAACAUAAGAGACUGUAGAAAUACAUCUCAUUAUAAGUACCACCCAUUCCUUCGCAAAACCCAUCCGUAUCAUAACUUCCUUCAAGAAAGCCCAUUCCACCCUAUCGUAAGCUUUACUCAUGUCAAGCUUAAUUGCCAUAAAACCUUUCUUCCCCUUACGUUUUUUCCGAAGAGUAUGCAGAAUUUCAUAAGCUAUCAAAAUAUUGUCUGAAAUUAGCCUCCCUGGGACAAAUGCACUUUGAGCACUAUCAAUGCAUCUCCCGAUGACUUCUUGAAAACGAUUGGCAAUAGCUUUAGCAAUAAUUUUAUAAAGAACUGUGCAUAAACUAAUUGGUCUAAAAUCUGCAAGGUUUGUAGGAUUGGAUUUCUUCGGAAUAAGGGUAAUCUUAGUUACAUUUAACUCUUCCACGUCUUUUCCAUUAUUUAAAACUUCUAAACAAAAAUUCCCAAUAUCUUCGCCCACUAUAUCCCAGUAUUUUUGAAAGAAUAGAGCCGGGAAGCCAUCAUAACCUGGAGCUUUUGUUGAACCCAUUCCCUUCACUGCAAUAUAAAUCUCCUCUAACGUAAAUUUUUUCAAUAGGGUUGCAUUGAUAUCCGAAGAGAUGCAAUUCUGAAUACCUGUUAGAAGAUGAGAAGGAUCUCUAACGCCUGUAGUCGAGAAAAGCUUUUGAAAAUACUGCGUCGCCAACUCAUUAAUUUUAAACUCCUCAGUAAUUCCUCUCCCAUCAUCAUUAUCAAGCCUGCUAAUUGUAUUAAUUUUUCUCCGCAUUGAUGCAUAUUUAUGAAAAAAUUCUGUAUUUUUAUCCCCCAACUUUAGCCAAUUAGCUCGUGCUCUCUGUUCCCAAUACAUCUCCUCCUUCUCGAUUUCCAUGCUCAAAUGAAUUCUUUUAUUAAUUAUCUGGUUCAUAACAUCUUCAUCAGGUUCCUUCUUCAUUAAAUCUUCAACCUCUUUUGUAGUUCUUUCUGUCAUUCCCUUCCGUUGCCUUCUAAUAGAUUUAGCCCAUUUCGAUAAGCUAAUCUGCAAGUUCUCAAGAUUUUCCAAAACCGAUCCAUUUUGUGACUUCCAGGCUUCCCGAAUUUCUUUCUCUAUUGACUCCUCUGUAGUCCACCAGGCUUCAAAUUUAUAACUUGGAACUGUCUUGAAACUGUUUAAAUUAAUUGUGCUUAUUAACAAAGGACAAUGAUCCGAAAGGGUAGACAUCAGAUGAUUAAUAUUGCCCGUUGGAAAUAACUCCAUCCAUUUUUCGUUUGCAACACCUCUAUCCAAUCUUUCCCAUAAUUCGUCUCUGGUAAAUUCCCUCUCUCCCAUGUAUACCAUACUCCUGAAUAUCCCAAGUCUAAAAAGUGACAUUCUUGUAGAGUUUCCCGAAACGCUGCCAUCUUUCUUUCAUCCAUCGGUUGACCUCUUUUUUUUCAAAAGAAUAAGCUAUUUCAUUGAAAUCUCCACUCACUAACCAAGGAUACUCUUGCUCCUGUCCCAAGAUCUUUAAUAAAUCCCAUGAAGCAUUUUUAUCUUGUGAGUAGGGAGAGCCAUAGAACCCUGUGAAUCUCCAAUCGCCAUGAGCACCUUCUCCUUUAACCAGCACAUCAAUAUGACUUAUUGACAAAGAUCUAAGGUGAAUCUGAACCUCCUCUCGCCAUGCUAAACAAAUACCACCCUGCGUACCAGUAGCUCCUACUUCAAGUCCAUUCAUGAAACCACACAUUCUUCUAAUUGCUUCCAUACGUUUUCCACUUACUUUAGUCUCCAUUAAGAAGACAAAUUGAGGAUUAUUUUGCUUCAGUAAAAAUCGAAGCUUCCUUACUGCCCGUGGACUCCCCAAUCCACGGACAUUCCAACAUAUGAUUUUCAUUGUGCCCGGUCGGCUUGCCCAUUGGCAGCCGCCGAUCCUGUCUGGUUGGAAAAUUCUAUUUGUAAAUUAAUUUCAUCCUUCGAAGUUAGAUCCUGUUCAGCACGUUUUGUCCUUUUUAGAUUCUCUUCUCGAAUCUCCUUUACCCCAUCUUCAUCUUGCACUAAUUCUGCCAAUUUCCUUUUUUGCAAUUUACGAUCAGCCUCAUGGUUCUCCUUCCCUCCCACUAUUUUCCUUCUUUUCCAACUAACUUUCCUGGCUAAAACUAGAUUACUGACAGUACUAUCUACAUUACCUCCUUCAUUGAUACCUGCUUCCUUGUGUAAUUCAAGAUCUGCAACAGCUGAUGCCAAACAAGAACUAUCCUGGAUCCCUCCCACUAAACCACUACUUUGCUCCAUGUACUGAUAUUCUUCCUGGUUCUUUGUAAUGCCUCCAACAUAAGAGCAUUGUGGUUGUGAUUUUUUCAAUAAAGCAUUAAACUUUAAACUCUCCCUUCCCACUAACUUUGAUUCUGCUUUUAAUGCUAAAGAAAAAGGUAGAUCCACUUUAAUUCUGUUUUUCUCUACAGGAGUAAAUUCCGAGCAAUCGUGGAUGCCAUGCCCUAACUUGCCACAUCCAAAACAGUAAGUCGGCAACUUUUCAUACUUAAAUGGGAUCCAAGAUUUAUUCCCAUUCCCUAUUGUGACAAAAAUACCCCUUCGAAGAGGUUUCUGAACAUUUAACAGCACUCUAAGCCGACAAAAUUCACCAAGAAUUUCAGAUCUGAUUACCUCUCCAAAAGUGACUCCUAUAGCAUGCAAAAGGUCUUUUUUAUCAAACUCUGGUAGACACGGCCCAAUUUUAAUCCAAAACGGUGAUGAGACAAGCCGAAUUUGAUCUCUUAACAUUGAUUUAUUCAACCGAUCGAACAGGAUUAAUUGCUUCCUAAACAACCAUGGUUGGCCUUCCAAAACAGUCUCUAAAUCCUCUUCCAAUUCAAACUCAAUCAAAAAGAGAUUUUGUCCAGCAACUUGAAUCACAAAUUUCUUCCUUGUCUUCCAAAUACUCCUCAUCUGUGCUUUGAAACUAUCUUGAUUGUAAGGUUUCUUUGUCCAUACAGAACAUAUCAAAGAGAAAUUGCCACUUGGUUCCACCAUCGAACUUUUAACCGAAAGUUGAAUAAGCUCUUCUGUUAAUAAGGCGAUCUCAUCUCCCCCAAACCCAUCGUUACCACCGCUCUCCAUUAUCCCAAGCCGCAGCAGCCACUGUUUUCGCUAAGAUACCAAGGAUAGCACUCUUGGUUUCUAGGGUUUUAUAGUAAUAUAAUAUUAAAACUAAUAAUUUUUUAGUAACAUAAUUGAAAAUUUCAUAAAUUAAUCUUAAAAAUUAGUAAUUUUUUUAAAUGUAAGAGAAAUAUAAUUUUCUAAACAUUAUUAAAAUUUUAUUUAUAUAAUUUUAAAAAUACACAUUAAAAAUUAUUAAAAAGAACACAUUAAAAAACUAUUUAAAAUUUUUAAAAAAUAAUUUAAUCUUUUAAGCAGCAUACAUGAAUUUAAAUUUCAAAAUAUGUACAUGAUAUACUUUAAACAUAGAUGAAUAAAAGUAAACUUUAAAAAGUUUCUAAAAAGUUAAAAUAAUUUUUUGAAAAACAUUAUUACAAAUACAUUUCAUAAAUAAAAUUUUAAUAGAUUUCAUGAAUACUUUUUUUUUUAUAUUUGUUUAAUUUAAGAAUUUGUAUAUAUCGUACUUUAAUUUUAUCAAAUAAACAUUGA
rnacentral:lncRNA from 1 species